UGGGGAAUCUUGCGCAAUGGGCGAAAGCCUGACGCAGCCACGCCGCGUGCGGGAUGAAGGCCCUAGGGUUGUAAACCGCUUUUAACAGGAACGAAAAUGACGGUACCUGUAGAAUAAGGUGCGGCCAACUACGUGCCAGCAGCCGCGGUGACACGUAGGCACCAAGCGUUGUCCGGAUUUAUUGGGCGUAAAGAGCUCGUAGGCGGUUCAGUAAGUCGGGUGUGAAAACUCUGGGCUUAACCCAGAGACGCCACUCGAUACUAUUGUGACUAGAGUUCGGUAGGGGAGCGGGGAAUUCCUAGUGUAGCGGUGAAAUGCGCAGAUAUUAGGAGGAACACCGGUGGCGAAGGCGCCGCUCUGGGCCGAUACUGACGCUGAGGAGCGAAAGCGUGGGUAGCAAACAGGAUUAGAUACCCUGGUAGUCCACGCCGUAAACGGUGGGCACUAGGUGUGGGUUCCAACCAACGGAAUCCGCGCCGUCGCUAACGCAUUAAGUGCCCCGCCUGGGGAGUACGGCCGCAAGGUUAAAACUCAAAGGAAUUGACGG
rnacentral:rRNA from 1 species